ensembl:lncRNA
CAGCCGUUGAAUGGAUGGAAUGAAACGAGGGGUGAGGAGUCUUUUUCUGAUGCUGUAAUAAUUUUCAGCGUAAAAGUCAUCCUCCAACACUCGCGAACACUCGUGCUGUUUCUGGUGGGGUUGAUCGGACAUACAACCGUUGCAUGUGUCAGUGAGGUACUUGUUGAUUACGAGGUUGACAAGAUGAUACACAGCAGUUUUCACGGUAUCGAUGAACAAAGAAAAUGCCCAACCGUCAAGCUCGUCCGCUUGCUGCUGCUUUUCCAAGGGUCGAUAGUAACCGGACGUGUCAGGUAAUAUUGUGCCCUCGUCCGCAGAACUUUCCUCCUCCUCCGCAGGGUGGCGCAGGGCUGUAGAGGCCAUACUUCUCUCUGUUUUUGAGCUAAAAAAAAAAAAAAAAAAAGGUUUGAAGGAAUGAGACGGCGGUCUUCUUUUUAAAUAACAGAAGAGGGCGUGGUCUGGAAGUGGGUUGAUCUUAAAGGGUGCGCGUAGGUGUGGCAGCUAUUUUCAAAAACCGUAGAGUUGGCCACUGCGUCUCUAGCAGCUGUAACUUUGGAAAAGAACGGUAAUUCCCAUCUGUUGGGCUUGAAAUUCUCCAUGAAAAUGGCAUCUUCCAGCCCUUCUGCUCAAUCAACCAUCAGAGUGACAGAACUUGGUACAUAUUUGGUACUUGGUACCAGGGAUACUGAGCAAUCUUUAGUCUCUGAAGAUUGCGAGAUUCAUAAUGUUCCCGAUGAUGCUGACAUCGUGCUUUAAAUGUAGUUCUCCUGUGCUGACUGAAACGUGCAUGUUUACAGCAGUUAACGUGCAAGAAACUAGUCUUGCACAGUGGGAUAAUGGAGUGACAGGGUUCAUCACAGUUGAAAACAGCUGUCCGUGUGCACAGGCCAUCCUGAGAUCCUAAAAAGAUUUUCAGAUUUUCAGAAGAAAGAACACGUUGCUCUUAGCAAUACUGUCUAGAACAUUUCUUGCUCCACCUCUUCUUCGACCCUGUCUGUUCCCUGCACGACUCCAGCCAGACAUACAAAAAACCACAAAAGAAAUCCUACUGAGUCCACAUCACACACAUGCACACGCAGCCUCACACACAAGAACACAAAUACCAUAAAACAUCCAUGCACGCAUGCACGUACGAACUAUUUACUCAAUCCUGCAAGAGGAGUGUAGGAUUUAAAUGUAUGUAUGUAAUUUAAAUUUGUAUAAGCUGUAGAUGUUUUUUUUGGUUUGUGGCGACGACUACACGACAAAAAAAAAGUUGUAUGAGUCGGUGGAGGGGGCCCUCCGUGUUCCGGUUACCAGCACCGACCUUUGCAGUGAGCAGCUUCGGUUACGUGCAGCCCGAGUUUUUUCACCCGCGCUGAGGACAAAAGAAAAAAAAAAAAGAAGAAGAAGUUCUGUAAACACACCUAUGUGCAUCUCCGAUAGUUCCUUCACAAUAAAAGCAUCAAGCUGAAUCACCAUUUCAAAGCUUUUAACUUGAAGUAAGAAACGCCGGAAAUGUCUCGUCGGCAUUCACAAUAGCGCUGAGACGUAAACAGUCCUUCACAGCGAAAUGUCUUGAAGGUACAAAGACGAGAGGAGACAGGCGGGAGUUUGUGGCACAACACUGGCACGUGCUGACCGUGACCGAGCACGAGCAGCAUUAGAGUGAUGAUGGGUGUAAAAAAACAAUGAGCACGAUUUUUCACGUAGAUUGCACUGUACACAGUAUUAUAUUAAUGUACAGUAUGCAU